GAUAAACGCUAGCGGCAGGCCUAACACAUGCAAGUCGAGGGGCAGCGGGGAAGUAGCUUGCUACUUUUGCCGGCGACCGGCGCACGGGUGCGUAACGCGUAUGCAACCUACCUUUAACUGGGGAUAAUCUGAAGAAAUUUGGUCUAAUACCCCAUAACAUAAGAACAGGCAUCUGUUUUUAUUAAAAAUUCCGAUGGUUAAAGAUGGGCAUGCGUUGUAUUAGUUAGUUGGUGGGGUAACGGCUCACCAAGGCUACGAUACAUAGGGGGACUGAGAGGUUUUCCCCCCACACUGGUACUGAGACACGGACCAGACUCCUACGGGAGGCAGCAGUGAGGAAUAUUGGUCAAUGGACGCAAGUCUGAACCAGCCAUGCCGCGUGCAGGAUGACGGCUCUAUGAGUUGUAAACUGCUUUUGUACGAGGGUAAACCUACUUACGAGUAAGUAGCUGAAAGUAUCGUACGAAUAAGGGUCGGCUAACUCCGUGCCAGCAGCCGCCGCAG
rnacentral:rRNA from 1 species